UCAUAGAGGGGAAGUAGCCUUCGAAGGAAGAUUAAUACGCAUAAGAUUGUAGUACCGCAUGGUACAGCAAUUAAAAGGAGUAAUCCGCUAUGAGAUGGACCCGCCGUCGCAUUAGCUAGUUGGUGAGGUAACGGCUCACCAAGGCGACGAUGCGUAGCCGACCUGAGAGGGUGAUCGGCCACAUUGGGACUGAGACACGGCCCAGACUCCUACGGGAGGCAGCAUG
rnacentral:rRNA from 1 species